CGAAACUGCGAAUAGCUCAUUAAUACGCUCAGAAUCUAUUUGGCGGCGACCAACAGGUCUUAAAUGGAUAGCAGCAGCAACUCUGGUGCUAAUACAUGCGAUUGUUUCUCCAGAUGUGAAUUAUGGAGGAAAAGUUGACCUCAUCAGAGGCACGCCAUUCGACUGAGUGACCUAUCAGCUUGUACUUAGGGUCUUUACCUAGGUAGGCUAUCACGGGUAACGGGCGGUUACCGUCGGACUGCCGGAGAAGGCGCCUGAGAGAUAGCGACUAUAUCCACGGGUAGCAGCAGGCGCGAAACUUUCCCACUCGAGACUUUCGGAGGAGGUAAUGACCAGUUCCAUUGGUGCCUUUCGGUACUGUGGAUAGGGGUACGGUUUUCCACCGUACCGAAACCUAGCAGAGGGCCAGUCUGGUGCCAGCAGCUGCGGUAAUUCCAGCUCUGCGAGUUUGCUCCCAUAUUGUUGCAGUUAAAACGCCCGUAGUCUGAAUUGGCCAGCAAUGGUCGUACGUAUUUUUACGUUCACUGUGAACAAAUCAGGACGCUUAGAGUAUGGCUACAUGAAUGACUCAGCGCAGUAUGAAGUCUUUGUUUUCUUCCGAAAACAAGCUCAAUGAGAGCCAUCGGGGGUAGAUCUAUCUCAUGACGAGUGGUGGAAUACUUUGACUCAUGAGAGAGAAGCUGAGGCGAAGGCGUCUACCUAGAGGGUUUCUGUCGAUCAAGGGCGAGAGUAGGAGUAUCCAACAGGAUUAGAGACCCUGGUAGUUCCUACCUUAAACGAUGCCGACAGGAGUUUGUCAUUUGUUAAUGGCAGAAUCUUUGGAGAAAUCAUAGUUCUUGGGCUCUGGGGGAACUACGACCGCAAGGCUGAAACUUGAAGGAAUUGACGGAAGGGCACACCAGGGGUGGAGCCUGUGGCUUAAUUUGAAUCAACACGGGGAAACUUACCAGGACCAGAUGUUUUUUAUGACUGACAGGCUUCGGGUCUUUCAGGAUAUUGUUUUUGGUGGUGCAUGGCCGUUGGUGGUGCGUGGGUUGACCUGUCUAGCGUUGAUUCAGCUAACGAGCGAGAUUAUCGCCAAUUAUUUACUUUGCCGAAGUCUUUCGGUUAAAGUUCUAAUUGGGACUCCC
rnacentral:rRNA from 1 species